AAAUUGAAGAGUUUGAUCAUGGCUCAGAUUGAACGCUGGCGGCAGGCCUAACACAUGCAAGUCGAGCGGAAACGAGUUAUCUGAACCUUCGGGGAACGAUAACGGCGUCGAGCGGCGGACGGGUGAGUAAUGCCUAGGAAAUUGCCCUGAUGUGGGGGAUAACCAUUGGAAACGAUGGCUAAUACCGCAUGAUGCCUACGGGCCAAAGAGGGGGACCUUCGGGCCUCUCGCGUCAGGA
rnacentral:rRNA from 2 species